rnacentral:rRNA from 1 species
AGCGAACGCUGGCGGCAGGCUUAACACAUGCAAGUCGAACGCAUCACUUCGGUGGUGAGUGGCAGACGGGUGAGUAACACGUGGGAACGUACCCUUCGAUCUGGGAUAACUUCGGGAAACUGGAGCUAAUACCGGAUACGCCCUUUUGGGGAAAGGUUUACUGUCGAAGGAUCGGCCCGCGUCUGAUUAGCUAGAUGGUGGGGUAACGGCCUACCAAGGCGACGAUCGGUAGCUGGUCUGAGAGGAUGAUCAGCCACACUGGGACUGAGACACGGCCCAGACUCCUACGGGAGGCAGCAGUGGGGAAUAUUGAACAAUGGGCGCAAGCCUGAUCCAGCCAUGCCGCGUGAGUGAUGAAGGCCUUAGGGUUGUAAAGCUCUUUUGUCCGGGACGAUAAUGACGGUACCGGAAGAAUAAGCCCCGGCUAACUUCGUG